ensembl:lncRNA
UCUUCCUGUUCUCUGUGGCCCUUUUCUCCCACCACAGAGAGCUCACCUUUGACGGCCUCUCUGUGCCCUGUUCACAGGGCAGUUGGGACCCAGGUCCUUCCGCAGUGAGCAGAGAUCUGACCAAGCAGCCCACCUUAGCUGUGGUCAGGGGAGAGGGUAUCUGGCAAGGUGACUGCGGGUCCAAAUACCCCGCCAGCCCUUCAGCUGGCCCGGUGACUAAGCCGAGUCACACCACGUCGAAGCUUCAUCUCAUCAUUCACGAGCCUGAUCUGACUGGUUUUGGGAACUGACGAAUGGUUCAGACCCCAUACCCCCCAGGCGCCAGCAGAGGUAGGAGGAAAUGACUUUGGCAGUAGACUCAGAACUUCCAUUUAAACAGGAGACAUAGGCACUUCCAGGCACUUUAAGUGGGGCUUGAGACAUGGUGAACAGAACCUUCCGGAAAAGAGCUGGCCCUCUCAUGCUCUCCCUUCUGGGAGCAGCCGCCUGUGGCAGAAAGCCAAGAGUCUCUAGCAUCUCAUUGAGCAAGGUCCUGACGGUGCUUAGCACCAAAACAGAAAUGGCCAGGCCCCCAGAGACUUCCUAGACUUAUGCUUGUCCUUACAGGGUGCCGCACUGCUUGAAAGCAAACUACCCUGCCUUUAAAUCCAUCUCCCCUGAAGAGGAUAACCAGAUGUAGCUGGCCCACCACUUGAGAGAAACAAAAGACCCUGAAGCAUCUGGAAUCUGGGUUUGAGUGCUUAGCUUUCCCAGGAUACCCUGGAGACAUGGCCAAGCAGGCGGCCCUCUGCUCGUCUCACCACCGUCACCUGCAGCUCGAAUCAGCAUUUCUCCAGUAGCUGAUGUGUUUCCUGCCGAAGGCCUGAGACAUUCCAUCUGAGGCUUGUUCUGAACCUCUGACACGACCCAGCAGGGGACCAACUGCAGCUUAAAAAAAUCCUGUGGCUCUUGUGAAGCCAACCCAGAGGCACUGCUGCAGGAGCCCGCGGGCCCCUUGUGCCAGCGCUGCAGACAGUGAUGGCAGUAGGUGCAAAAGCCUUCGCCUGCGCAGCGCGGCCCCACCCUGCCGCUGCAGCGUAGUUAUUUUUUUGUGCUGGAUGGACUCUUGUUCUUCGUGACUUUGCUGUGGGAGCUCGGGUUUGAUGUGCAGCUAGAGUUCAUCUUGGCAUAUUUAAAUAUGGCUUGUAUAAACUGCUUUCUUAUUUUAAACAAGUUCCCAACUUUACCGAAGUUUGGGGGUUGAGGUAUUCUUUUUACUGCAAACGAUAAUGAAAAACAGCUAUUUAAAGUGGUGGCCCCAGCCAGUAGACUGAAUUAACACUAAAAGUCAACAAGUAGGAAACAUUCUUGGGAUCCCAGAUCACUAUCUUAAAAAAAAAAAGAAAAAUCCCCCAGCAGCCUCUUUGGGGGCUGGCCGAGCUCUCUGAAUAACUUGCUGUUUAGUAUUGAUUAGUACCAGCCGCCUUGCUCACCAAUGCCUUGGAAGCCACUGAUCACCCUCGCCCAGGAACACGGCCUCUGUCAGGCACCCUCAUCCAUCGCCAGCAAGCAUGUUUGGGAAAAAGCGUAGCCCCUGCAGAGCGCUUCUGGCUGGAGCCCACCUACUCCACAUCUGCUGGACCAAGAGCAGGCAAGGAAAUUCUCAAACAGGAAUCUGGAACUGAAACACUACAUCAGGUCUGAAAAGUAUGAAUGCAUAGCCACACUAGAUAAAUCAGAGAUAAAGGAGAUGGUUUUUUAAAAUUAUUUUCAGUUGUCACUCACCUUCAGUGGUGAAGCCGUUCCAGACUCAUCUGAAAAGAAAUCCCCAUUUGGGGAUGAAAUCUCAGAGUCUGUGUUUUAUCAUUCUGGUUAGCUGUCCACCAUACGUUUUUAUAGGAGUUUCAGUUUUAGAAGCCCAUCUUGGUGACUCCACCUUGGAGAAUCCCAACCUCAGCUCAGAGGUGUUGAGAAUGAGGGCAGAGCUACCCUCUGCAACGCUCAGAAUCAAGGGUCACCCAGCACAGAGAAUGUAGAGCCAGCCAUCUAUGUUUACAAAACACUUACCCAAAAGGUUCUUUUCAGUGGAACCCUGGGUGGAUUUUUCUCUGUUGUGGUGCUUCCAAGGAAACAAAGACAGUUAAUAAUGCCUUUUCUCUCUUAAGCACUUUUUCAAAAUAACACAGUACAUCUUUAAAUUUGAGGAGGCAUCUCUGACAAAAAGACUUCUCAGAACCUGAGGACAAGGGCUGUCCAGAGAUGCUCCUGUCCCCCCAUGGCUGCAGAGCAACAGCGAAGCCUCAGUUGGGUGGCUUCCAAAUCAGAAUUGCACUUUAAUAGACCAGUCCUCAAUGCUCGCGGCCUUACGGGGUAGUGGGUCUGGGAACCUGACUCUUUUUUAUCUGCCAAAGAAUCACCAGAAGCACAUCAAAUGCCAACUCUCCACCUGCCCAGUGGGGGUGAGGGACUUUUGUGUCCCAAAGCAUAGUCCGUAUAGCAUCUGCUGCACCAUUUGGGAAUGUCUUAUUUUUAAUCUCAGGAUUUAAAUAAACACU